rnacentral:tRNA from 1 species
GCCUGGGUGGUUCAGUUGGUUAAGCACCUGACUUUGGCUCAGGUCCCGAUCUCACGGUUUGUGGGUUCGAGCCCCGCGUCGGGCU